UACAGAGGUCUCAAGCGUUGUUCGGAUUCAUUGGGCGUAAAGGGUGCGUAGGCGGCGCGGUAAGUCGGGUGUGAAAUCUCGGGGCUUAACUCCGAAACUGCAUUCGAUACUGCAGUGCUUGAGGACUGGAGAGGAGACUGGAAUUCAUGGUGUAGCAGUGAAAUGCGUAGAGAUCAUGAGGAAGACCAGUGGCGAAGGCGGGUCUCUGGACAGUUCCUGACACUGAGACACGAAGGCCAGGGGAGCAAACAGG
rnacentral:rRNA from 1 species